rnacentral:rRNA from 1 species
GUGGGGAAUAUUGGACAAUGGGCGAAAGCCUGAUCCAGCCAUGCCGCGUGUGUGAAGAAGGUCUUCGGAUUGUAAAGCACUUUAAGUUGGGAGGAAGGGUAGUAACCUAAUACGUUGCUACUUUGACGUUACCGACAGAAUAAGCACCGGCUAACUUCGUGCCAGCAGCCGCGGUAAUACGAAGGGUGCAAGCGUUAAUCGGAAUUACUGGGCGUAAAGCGCGCGUAGGUGGUUCAGUAAGUUGGAAGUGAAAUCCCCGGGCUCAACCUGGGAAAUGCUUUCAAAACUGCUGAGCUAGAGUACGGUAGAGGGUGGUGGAAUUUCCUGUGUAGCGGUGAAAUGCGUAGAUAUAGGAAGGAACACCAGUGGCGAAGGCGACCACCUGGACUGAUACUGACACUGAGGUGCGAAAGCGUGGGGAGCAAACAGGAUUAGAAACCCCAGUAGUCC